UUGAACGCUGGCGGCAUGCCUUACGCAUGCAAGUCGAACGGCAGCACGGGAGCAAUCCUGGUGGCGAGUGGCGAACGGGUGAGUAAUAUAUCGGAACGUGCCCAGUCGUGGGGGAUAACGUAGCGAAGGCUACGCUAAUACCGCAUACGAUCUAUGGAUGAAAGCGGGGGAUCGCAAGACCUCGCGCGAUUGGAGCGGCCGAUAUCAGAUUAGGUAGUUGGUGAGGUAAAGGCUCACCAAGCCGACGAUCUGUAGCUGGUCUGAGAGGACGACCAGCCACACUGGGACUGAGACACGGCCCAGACUCCUACGGGAGGCAGCAGUGGGGAAUUUUGGACAAUGGGCGCAAGCCUGAUCCAGCAAUGCCGCGUGCAGGAUGAAGGCCUUCGGGUUGUAAACUGCUUUUGUACGGAACGAAACGGUGAGCUCUAAUACAGUUUGCUAAUGACGGUACCGUAAGAAUAAGCACCGGCUAACUACGUG
rnacentral:rRNA from 1 species